GUCUACGGUCAUGCCACCCUGAACAUGCUCUAUUUUGUCUGAUCUUGGAAGCUAAGCAGGGUCGGGCCUAGUUAGUACUUGGAUAGUAGACUACCUAGGAAUACCAAGUGCUGUAGGUA
ensembl:rRNA 5S_rRNA 5S ribosomal RNA